ACGCCGUGCGCGGUGUCCGUGCUCCCGAGCGAUGCGGGGCAAGUGAGCGGGGGUGGUGCCGUGUCGGCGCAGCACCACUCCCGCGAC
rnacentral:ncRNA from 1 species